AUUGAACGCUGGCGGCAGGCCUAACACAUGCAAGUCGAGCGGUAGAGAGGUGCUUGCAUCUCUUGAGAGCGGCGGACGGGUGAGUAAUGCCUAGGAAUCUGCCUAGUGGUGGGGGGAUAACGUUCGGAAACGGACGCUAAUACCGCAUACGUCCUACGGGAGAAAGCGGGGGAUCUUCGGGACCUCGCGCCAUUAGAUGAGCCUAGGUCGGAUUAGCUAGUUGGUGAGGUAAUGGCUCACCAAGGCGACGAUCCGUAACUGGUCUGAGAGGAUGAUCAGUCACACUGGAACUGAGACACGGUCCAGACUCCUACGGGAGGCAGCAGUGGGGAAUAUGGACAAUGGGCGAAAGCCCUGAUCCAGCCAUGCCGCGUGUGUGAAGAAGGUC
rnacentral:rRNA from 1 species